UUAAGCGACUAAGCGUACACGGUGGAUGCCCUGGCAGUCAGAGGCGAUGAAGGACGUGCUAAUCUGCGAAAAGCGUCGGUAAGGUGAUAUGAACCGUUAUAACCGGCGAUGUCCGAAUGGGGAAACCCAGUGCAAUUCGUUGCACUAUCGUUAACUGAAUACAUAGGUUAACGAGGCGAACCGGGGGAACUGAAACAUCUAAGUACCCCGAGGAAAAGAAAUCAACCGAGAUUCCCCCAGUAGCGGCGAGCGAACGGGGAGCAGCCCAGAGUCUGAAUCAGCUUGUGUGUUAGUGGAACGGUCUGGAAAGUCCGACGGUACAGGGUGAUAGUCCCGUACACCAAAAUGCACAGGUUGUGAACUCGAAGAGUAGGGCGGGACACGUGGUAUCCUGUCUGAAUAUGGGGGGACCAUCCUCCAAGGCUAAAUACUCCUGACUGACCGAUAGUGAACCAGUACCGUGAGGGAAAGGCGAAAAGAACCCCGGCGAGGGGAGUGAAAAAGAACCUGAAACCGUGUACGUACAAGCAGUGGGAGCACCUUCGGGUGUGACUGCGUACCUUUUGUAUAAUGGGUCAGCGACUUAUAUUCUGUAGCAAGGUUAACCGUAUAGGGGAGCCGCAGGGAAACCGAGUCUUAACUGGGCGUUAAGUUGCAGGGUAUAGACCCGAAACCCGGUGAUCUAGCCAUGGGCAGGUUGAAGGUUGGGUAACACUAACUGGAGGACCGAACCGACUAAUGUUGAAAAAUUAGCGGAUGACUUGUGGCUGGGGGUGAAAGGCCAAUCAAACCGGGAGAUAGCUGGUUCUCCCCGAAAGCUAUUUAGGUAGCGCCUCGUGAACUCAUCUUCGGGGGUAGAGCACUGUUUCGGCUAGGGGGUCAUCCCGACUUACCAACCCGAUGCAAACUACGAAUACCGAAGAAUGUUAUCACGGGAGACACACGGCGGGUGCUAACGUCCGUCGUGAAGAGGGAAACAACCCAGACCGCCAGCUAAGGUCCCAAAGUCAUGGUUAAGUGGGAAACGAUGUGGGAAGGCACAGACAGCCAGGAUGUUGGCUUAGAAGCAGCCAUCAUUUAAAGAAAGCGUAAUAGCUCACUGGUCGAGUCGGCCUGCGCGGAAGAUGUAACGGGGCUAAACCAUGCACCGAAGCUGCGGCAGCGACACUAUGUGUUGUUGGGUAGGGGAGCGUUCUGUAAGCCUGCGAAGGUGACCUGUGAGGGUUGCUGGAGGUAUCAGAAGUGCGAAUGCUGACAUAAGUAACGAUAAAGCGGGUGAAAAGCCCGCUCGCCGGAAGACCAAGGGUUCCUGUCCAACGUUAAUCGGGGCAGGGUGAGUCGACCCCUAAGGCGAGGCCGAAAGGCGUAGUCGAUGGGAAACAGGUUAAUAUUCCUGUACUUGGUGUUACUGCGAAGGGGGGACGGAGAAGGCUAUGUUAGCCGGGCGACGGUUGUCCCGGUUUAAGCAUGUAGGCUGGUUGUCCAGGCAAAUCCGGAUAAUCAAGGCUGAGGUGUGAUGACGAGGCACUACGGUGCUGAAGUAACAAAUGCCCUGCUUCCAGGAAAAGCCUCUAAGCAUCAGGUAACAUCAAAUCGUACCCCAAACCGACACAGGUGGUCAGGUAGAGAAUACCAAGGCGCUUGAGAGAACUCGGGUGAAGGAACUAGGCAAAAUGGUGCCGUAACUUCGGGAGAAGGCACGCUGGUGUGUAGGUGAAGCCCCUGCGGGUGGAGCUGAGACCAGUCGAAGAUACCAGCUGGCUGCAACUGUUUAUUAAAAACACAGCACUGUGCAAACACGAAAGUGGACGUAUACGGUGUGACGCCUGCCCGGUGCCGGAAGGUUAAUUGAUGGGGUUAUCCGUAAGGAGAAGCUCUUGAUCGAAGCCCCGGUAAACGGCGGCCGUAACUAUAACGGUCCUAAGGUAGCGAAAUUCCUUGUCGGGUAAGUUCCGACCUGCACGAAUGGCGUAAUGAUGGCCAGGCUGUCUCCACCCGAGACUCAGUGAAAUUGAACUCGCUGUGAAGAUGCAGUGUACCCGCGGCAAGACGGAAAGACCCCGUGAACCUUUACUAUAGCUUGACACUGAACAUUGAGCCUUGAUGUGUAGGAUAGGUGGGAGGCUUUGAAGCGUGGACGCCAGUCUGCGUGGAGCCAACCUUGAAAUACCACCCUUUAAUGUUUGAUGUUCUAACGUUGGCCCCUGACCGGGGUUGCGGACAGUGUCUGGUGGGUAGUUUGACUGGGGCGGUCUCCUCCCAAAGCGUAACGGAGGAGCACGAAGGUUAGCUAAUCCUGGUCGGACAUCAGGAGGUUAGUGCAAUGGCAUAAGCUAGCUUGACUGCGAGCGUGACGGCGCGAGCAGGUGCGAAAGCAGGUCAUAGUGAUCCGGUGGUUCUGAAUGGAAGGGCCAUCGCUCAACGGAUAAAAGGUACUCCGGGGAUAACAGGCUGAUACCGCCCAAGAGUUCAUAUCGACGGCGGUGUUUGGCACCUCGAUGUCGGCUCAUCACAUCCUGGGGCUGAAGUAGGUCCCAAGGGUAUGGCUGUUCGCCAUUUAAAGUGGUACGCGAGCUGGGUUUAGAACGUCGUGAGACAGUUCGGUCCCUAUCUGCCGUGGGCGCUGGAGAAUUGAGGGGGGCUGCUCCUAGUACGAGAGGACCGGAGUGGACGCAUCACUGGUGUUCGGGUUGUCAUGCCAAUGGCACUGCCCGGUAGCUAAAUGCGGAAGAGAUAAGUGCUGAAAGCAUCUAAGCACGAAACUUGCCCCGAGAUGAGUUCUCCCUGAGACUUUAAGUCUCCUGAAGGAACGUUGAAGACGACGACGUUGAUAGGCCGGGUGUGUAAGCGCAGCGAUGCGUUGAGCUAACCGGUACUAAUGAACCGUGAGGCUUAACCUU
rnacentral:rRNA from 1 species